CUCCUAUGUAAUGCACAUGAACAGUAAAAUCGUUUUACUCGGCAACUAUGGCACCAAAUUUGAUGAGGUUUGAUACAUUUAAAAAUGUUUAAAUCAUAUUUUUACAUUAACACCAUCAACUUUUAUUAAAAUUUGCUGAAAAUAGCAUAACUUGAAGGAAAAGAACUUA
rnacentral:lncRNA from 1 species